UACGUAGGGUGCGAGCGUUAAUCGGAAUUACUGGGCGUAAAGCGUGCGCAGGCGGUUCUGAAAGUCAGCUGUGAAAUCCCCGGGCUUAACCUGGGAAUGGCAUUUGGGACUGCAAGGCUGGAGUGUGGCAGAGGAGACUGGAAUUCCUGGUGUAGCAGUGAAAUGCGUAGAUAUCAGGAGGAAUACCGAUGGCGAAGGCAGGUCUCUGGGCUGACACUGACGCUCAUGCACGAAAGCGUGGGGAGCAAACAGG
rnacentral:rRNA from 1 species